rnacentral:rRNA from 1 species
GACGAACGCUGGCGGCGUGCUUAACACAUGCAAGUCGAACGGUGAAGCGCCUUCCUUUUUCGUGGGUGUGGAUGAGUGGCGAACGGGUGAGUAACACGUGAGUAACCUGCCCCCUUCUUCUGGAUAACCGCAUGAAAGUGUGGCUAAUACGGGAUAUUCUGGGUCUGUCGCAUGAUGGGUCUGGGAAAGAUAUUGUUUCGGUGGGGGAUGGGCUCGCGGCCUAUCGGCUUGUUGGUGGGGUGAUGGCCUACCAAGGCGGUGACGGGUAGCCGGCCUGAGAGGGUGGACGGUCACACUGGGACUGAGACACGGCCCAGACUCCUACGGGAGGCAGCAGUGGGGAAUAUUGCACAAUGGGCGCAAGCCUGAUGCAGCGACGCCGCGUGAGGGAUGGAGGCCUUCGGGUUGUGAACCUCUUUCGCCAGUGAAGCAGGCCUGCCUCGUUUGUGGGUGGGUUGACGGUAGCUGGAUAAGAAGCGCCGGCUAACUACGUG